rnacentral:rRNA from 1 species
UACGGAGGGGGACUAGCGUUGUUCGGAAUUACUGGGCGUAAAGCGCACGUAGGCGGAUUUGUAAGUCAGGGGGUGAAAAUCCCCGGGGGCUCAACCUCGGAACUGUCUUUGAUACUGCAAAUCUCGAGUCCGGAAGAGGUGAGUGGAAUUCCUAGUGUAGAGGUGAAAAUUCGUAGAUAUUAGGAAGAACACCAGUGGCGAAGGCGAUCUUCUGGACGGAUACUGACGCUGAGGCGCGAAAGCUAAGGGGAGCAAACGGGG